rnacentral:rRNA from 1 species
GCAUNCAAACGCUGUGNGNCNUGUCUUAACACAUGCAAGUCGAACGAUGAAGCCCUUCGGGGUGGAUUAGUGGCGAACNUGGUGAGUAACACGUGGGCAAUCUGCCCUUCACUCUGGGACAAGCCCUGGAAACGGGGUCUAAUACCGGAUAANACUCCUGCCUGCAUGGGCGGGGGUUGAAAGCUCCGGCGGUGAAGGAUGAGCCCGCGGCCUAUCAGCUUGUUGGUGGGGUAAUGGCCCACCAAGGCGACGACGGGUAGCCGGCCUGAGAGGGCGACCGGCCACACUGGGACUGAGACACGGCCCAGACUCCUACGGGAGGCAGCAGUGGGGAAUAUUGCACAAUGGGCGAAAGCCUGAUGCAGCGACGCCGCGUGAGGGAUGACGGCCUUCGGGUUGUAAACCUCUUUCAGCAGGGAAGAAGCGAAAGUGACGGUACCUGCAGAAGAAGCGCCGGCUAACUACGUGCCAGCAGCCGCGGUAAUACGUAGGGCGCAAGCGUUGUCCGGAAUUAUUGGGCGUAAAGAGCUCGUAGGCGGCUUGUCACGUCGGAUGUGAAAGCCCGAGGCUUAACCUCGGGUCUGCAUUCGAUACGGGCUAGCUAGAGUGUGGUAGGGGAGAUCGGAAUUCCUGGUGUAGCGGUGAAAUGCGCAGAUAUCAGGAGGAACACCGGUGGCGAAGGCGGAUCUCUGGGCCAUUACUGACGCUGAGGAGCGAAAGCGUGGGGAGCGAACAGGAUUAGAUACCCUGGUAGUCCACGCCGUAAACGUUGGGAACUAGGUGUUGGCGACAUUCCACGUCGUCGGUGCCGCAGCUAACGCAUNANUUCCCCCCUGGGGANUCNGNCNCANGCUNAACUCAANGAAUUGACGGGGGCCCCNCAACNGCGGANNUGUGNUUAUUCGACCACGCNANAACUUNCAGGNUGNAUUACCGAANCUUAAAANUGCCCCUUNGNCGNUCAGNGGCUGNUNCNACNNGUCGNAANUGGUAACCCACANCCACUNUCUUNCAAUCC